rnacentral:rRNA from 1 species
UACGGAGGGUGCAACCGUUGCUCGGAAUCAUUGGGCGUAAAGCGCACGUAGGUGGUUUGUUAAGUCGGGUGUGAAAGCCCUGGGCUCAACCCAGGAAGUGCACUCGAAACUGGCAGACUUGAGUACUGAAGAGGGUCGCGGAAUUCCCGGUGUAGAGGUGAAAUUCGUAGAUAUCGGGAGGAACACCAGUGGCGAAGGCGGCGACCUGGGCAGAUACUGACACUGAGGUGCGAAAGCGUGGGGAGCAAACAGG